rnacentral:lncRNA from 1 species
GCAAAGGGAGGGGAGAACUCAUCAGGAAAAUGUAGGAUCCAGAAAUGGGGAAUCCAACACAGGAUCAAGAUAGAGUGGAGCCCUGGAGGCAGCCCUGUUGCGGUCCCAGCGAGCAAAUAACACAGAUUAGAGUGAUGCCUCCAAGAGAAAAUGAAUUUUGAUCAAGCAUGUAAGAAGAAAUCCAUGUUCAACCAACAAGGGCUAAUAAGAAGAACUCUAAUAUUCAUCUCUUAUGAGGAAAUCAUCAUUGAGGCUCUUGAGCACUUGAAAUGUGGCUAGAUUUCAAAAUUUAGUAUGAAAAAUGUAAAAUAUUUCAUUAGUAAUUUUGACAUUGAUUGUAUGUUAAAAUGGUAAUACUUUGGAUCAUCAGACUCAAUAAAAUAUAUUAUUG